ACUCCUACGGGAGGCAGCAGUGGGGAAUAUUGGACAAUGGGCGCAAGCCUGAUCCAGCCAUGCCGCGUGAGUGAUGAAGGCCCUAGGGUUGUAAAGCUCUUUCACCGGUGAAGAUAAUGACGGUAACCGGAGAAGAAGCCCCGGCUAACUUCGUGCCAGCAGCCGCGGUAAUACGAAGGGGGCUAGCGUUGUUCGGAUUUACUGGGCGUAAAGCGCACGUAGGCGGACUAUUAAGUCAGGGGUGAAAUCCCGGGGCUCAACCCCGGAACUGCCUUUGAUACUGGUAGUCUUGAGUUCGAGAGAGGUGAGUGGAAUUCCGAGUGUAGAGGUGAAAUUCGUAGAUAUUCGGAGGAACACCAGUGGCGAAGGCGGCUCACUGGCUCGAUACUGACGCUGAGGUGCGAAAGCGUGGGGAGCAAACAGGAUUAGAAACCCCUGUAGUCCCA
rnacentral:rRNA from 1 species